rnacentral:rRNA from 1 species
ACGCUGGCGGCGUGCCUAAUACAUCAAGUCGAGCGAAGUUUUUCUGGUGCUUGCACCGGAAAAACUUAGCGGCGAACGGGUGAGUAACACGUAAAGAACCUGCCUCAUAGACUGGGACAACUAUUGGAAACGAUAGCUAAUACCGGAUAACAGCAUUAACUGCAUGGUUGAUGUUUAAAAGUUGGUUUUGCUAACACUAUGAGAUGGCUUUGCGGUGCAUUAGCUAGUUGGUGGGGUAAAGGCCUACCAAGGCGACGAUGCAUAGCCGACCUGAGAGGGUGAUCGGCCACACUGGGACUGAGACACGGCCCAGACUCCUACGGGAGGCAGCAGUAGGGAAUCUUCCGCAAUGGGCGAAAGCCUGACGGAGCAACGCCGCGUGAGUGAAGAAGGAUUUCGGUUCGUAAAGCUCUGUUGUUAGGGAAGAAUGAUUGUGUAGUAACUAUACACAGUAGAGACGGUACCUGACCAGAAAGCCACGGCUAACUACGUGCCAGCAGCCGCGGUAAUACGUAGGUGGCAAGCGUUGUCCGGAAUUAUUGGGCGUAAAGCGCGCGCAGGUGGUUUAAUAAGUCUGAUGUGAAAGCCCACGGCUCAACCGUGGAGGGUCAUUGGAAACCGUUAAACUUGAGUGCAGGAGAGAAAAGUGGAAUUCCUAGUGUAGCGGUGAAAUGCGUAGAGAUUAGGAGGAACACCAGUGGCGAAGGCGGCUUUUUGGCCUGUAACUGACACUGAGGCGCGAAAGCGUGGGGAGCAAACAGGAUUAGAUANCCUGGUAGUCCACGCCGUAAACGAUGAGUGCUAAGUGUUGGUCUCAUAAGAGAUCAGUGCUGCAGCUAACGCAUUAAGCACUCCGCCU